rnacentral:lncRNA from 1 species
UGUGCCACCUGGCACUCAGGCAACUGGAGUAAGGGUCACACCCGUGGGCCUGCACGUGGGUGUCUUGGUCCCCAGUGCUCGCGCAGCUGCGGUGGAGGUUCCUCAGUGCAGGACGUGCAGUGUGUGGAUACACGGGACCUCUGGACACUGCAGCCCUUCCAUUGUCAGCCCGGGCCUGCCAAACCGCCUGCACACCGGCCCUG